rnacentral:rRNA from 1 species
UACAGAGGGUGCGAGCGUUGUCCGGAAUUACUGGGCGUAAAGAGCUCGUAGGUGGUUUGUCGCGUUGUCCGUGAAAACUCACAGCUCAACUGUGGGCGUGCGGGCGAUACGGGCAGACUGGAGUACUGCAGGGGAGACUGGAAUUCCUGGUGUAGCGGUGGAAUGCGCAGAUAUCAGGAGGAACACCGGUGGCGAAGGCGGGUCUCUGGGCAGUAACUGACGCUGAGGAGCGAAAGCGUGGGGAGCGAACAGG